GACGAACGCUGGCGGCGUGCUUAACACAUGCAAGUCGAGCGGUAAGGCCCUUUCGGGGGUACACGAGCGGCGAACGGGUGAGUAACACGUGGGUGACCUGCCCUCAGCUCUGGGAUAAGCCUGGGAAACUGGGUCUAAUACUGGAUAUGACUCCACGGUGCAUGUCGUGGGGUGGAAAGCCUUGUGCGGCUGAGGAUGGGCCCGCGGCCUAUCAGCUUGUUGGUGGGGUGANGGCCUACCAAGGCGACGACGGGUAGCC
rnacentral:rRNA from 1 species